GUGCUUGCUUCAACAGCACAUAUACUAGAAUUGGAACAUACAGAGAUUAGCAUGGCCCCUGUGAAAGGAGGAGGUGUAAAAUGUAACGAGAGUUUUUUACAGAUUUUU
ensembl:snRNA U6 U6 spliceosomal RNA